GACUUUUUAAUCAACUGAAAAGACUUUUUUUCCCCCCGUCAGAUCGUUCAUGGUGAGACGAAAAGAGAGAGAUAAUCUAUAUGCACUAUUGAUCCCCAAUUUACUUUCGGGUUUCUUCCCUUCUGCCGGAGUUUCUAGUUGUGUUUUCCGCACUGUGUGAAUCUUUUUGCCGCGCAAAAACUGGGUCGCCAUGGGUAAAUCAAUCCGAGCUUCGUGGUUCCAGGUGAUGCCUUCUUGCUUCCUCAGUUAUGAUUUUUCUUUAUGAUGCUCAUCCGCCAGUUAUUUUUAUCUGGUUGUAUUCGGCAAUAACAGAAUCACUCAAUCAAUUACUUUUCUUCGGAUGAAAUUUGAAUAUGAUUACCCUAAAUAUUAAAAAUGGUAUGCAUCUUAGAAUCCACAAAGGCGAGAGUGAGAACAGUAAGCAGAAUAAGCUAGGGGUUUUUGUUUGCAGUAUCACAUACAGGUUUUAAAAAGAGAAUAGGUAUGAGUCUCGAUGUAGCGACAAACAAGAGCACAACUUAUAGUUGUCACAUGAAAAAGGUUUGUGCUCGUGUGUUACUAGAAUUGUGCAUCUACUCCCUCCGUCCCUUUUUACUUGUCCCUUUUGAAAAAAUAACGCAUCUUAAGAAAAUGUUAGGUGGAUAUCUUGUUUUCAUACAUAUCCCUAAUAAAUGUAAUGAAUUAGAUAGAGUUGUGUAUAUAUAUAUGCUAGUCAAACAUUGGAAGUUGUUACAUUUUGAAAAAACAUACAACAAGUUGCUUUGAAAAGAGAAGUGGACAAGUAAUUUGGGACAAAUUUUUUUUUCAAAAGGGACAUGUAAAAGGGGACGGAGGGAGUAUAAGUGUAGUACAGAAGUUUGUGAAUAUUCUCGUGCAUUAAUUUGAGUCACUAUUUGAAGCAUAAGUAGGACUAUAAUUAAAGGAUUACUUUAUAAAUCAAUUAAAAAGAUGCCAGUUUAACUUAUAUAAUUCUUCUCUUCUAUUGUUAUUUUAUAUAAUUUUUAGUAUACUUCGGCAAAAACUUAGCAAGCUUAAUAUGGCUAUUGGAAAAAUGGUGUAAUUGUGUAUCUUAUCAUUCUUUUGGCUGUUAUAAAUUUAAAAUUAUAUUAUUAAUGUAGAAUACAUGAGUAAUUUAGAAUUAUAUUAUUAUACUGUUUUAGUUAUAUACAUUGACAAGGGUGAAGCCAGGAUGACCUAACAAGGUCGUAGUAAAAGAUUGAAGUGUGUAAUCAAACAUGUGAUUGGUGCCUCUUUUAUUAAAUUUUUGUCGAUUUGCUAUGCACUAUGAUCAUGAACAGACACACACAAUAGUAAUAAUACAUUAAUGAACAAGCAGAUGCUUUGACAAAUGUGGUCACAUGCAUGUGAUACUAAUAUGUCUAUUUCCAACAUUUCUCAGUACAUGUGAUAAUGCAAUUGUUCUUUUAGAUUAUUUAUUAUUAUUUUUGUUAUCAAUCUCACUGGGUCCUGGAUUAUCUAAUGUUGGUCUCCACAAAUGCUUGUAUAACGAAAAGAGCUCCUUGCAACAUUGGCCUGAGUCUUUAGUUUAAAUAGUGAAGAGUAUACUAGCUAAAUUCUGUAUACGAACUAGGUGGCAUAUUUUGUAACACAAGCAUGUCACUCUCACUGCUUGGACUAUUUUUCAUAAUUGCUUACAGCCUCAUCCGAUUUAAAAUGUCUUUAAUGAUUACAUCCUCGACUCCACUUCAGCGUCCAGUAGGUUAAGGUGUCCAGUUCAAGGUCUUGAUUACAUGACUAUACUCAUGUGCCACUUUUUGUCAGGCUAUAAUCUUCUCGUCAAAAAAUUAAGUUAUGAAUUAAAUUAGAUCAUGUGAUUGUACUUAGGGUAACCGAUCGAUGUAGGUGGAAUUUUUUUUUCUAAAAAUUUUAUUUUGUUUAAACGAUAUUUUCUCCAUGUCAAACCAGAGCCUCUCAUUUCUUUGUGUUCUUUUGACUAAGAAAGGUGUAACUGUUCCAUUACUUAUAUCCUGUAUAGUAGAUUAAUAGUUUCAUUGAUUGAUAACAGGAAAUGAAAUUAUGAAACUGAAAUAUUAAGUCUUGAUCGCAACUCAUUAUCCAAGUUAAAAUCUUGCCAUUUAUUUGUGUUAUUGGAUAUCGGAGAUGAUUAUGUUUAAUAAUCCAAAGUGUAUCUAUAUGCCUGACUUUUGGUCGGUCAAUACUACUAUCAAGUUUCUUAAUAAUUAAUUUUUUUCUAACUAGAUGCUAAUUGGUAGUGUUGCAUUGAAUUAGAUUAUUUAUAUUGCAAUUUACUGUGGUUUAUAACCUCGGUUAAUGUUAUGUGUUGAUCCAUUAUCCUUCCUUUCAACCAACAUGGUUGAUGCGGACUUUUAGUAUCUGUCUCAAUUAACUGUCAUAUUUUAAAGGAAAAGGCUCUAUAUUUUGUAAGUAGCUUGUUCAAUUCCUGCUCAUGAAUUUCAUUAGUAUGUUGUUCUCUUUCUGUUCAGAAUGAUCACUGUCAAGUUCACGUUCUGUUUACUAACUAUCUUGGUUUAUCUAUGAACAAUAUGCAGUACUCUAGCAGCAUAGCCUAUAGAAAAGAAUCGCAGUUUAUCUUAGAUUAAUUUAAAAAAAAAUGUCCAAGUUGAUUACAUUUAUAGUGAUAUUUGGAAGGCAAAAAAUGGUUGUUUGAUGAAAGUGUAAAUGUAGUGAUCCUUUAUGCACAUAACAUAAUCUACAAAAAUGGUAACAUAUGUACUCCAAAAGUUAUGCAGGUUCAGAACAGUGGUCUCUGUCCAAGACACAACUGCAAACACAACUUUAACACGUUUCAACAAGGAAGCGGAGCAGCUUGUCAGUGUGCCCUUAGCAAAAAAUUUGGAGUUAUGCAGGUUCAGGACAGUGGUCUCUGUCCAAGACACAACUGCAAACACAACUUCAACACUUUUCAACAAGGAAGCGGAGCAGCUUGUCAGUGUGCCCUCAGCAAAAAAUUUGGAGUUGGGGCAGGUAAUAAGAAUUUCAACUUGGGUAUCGCAAUACACAUUACGAUAUCACUCCAUGACUGCUUCUUUGUACACAGGAUGGAGACAUGUCCAAGAUUCCAGUAACCGUGAAUAACAUCAUUAGAAAGGUUUAUGUCUUUUAAAUUAAGGUCACACCAUACAACACGUCACAAGGAUGUGAGUAAUACAUCGUCACAAGAGUCUUAGAAGACGCAACUACAGAGGUUUCAAAAUUAGGCGCGUGCACAGAUGCAGAGACUUCAAAAAUAGAAGCACACACAGAUGUAGAGCCGUCAAAAACAACCACACAACCAACAAAUGCAACAGGAGUCCAGACUUUGAAAACUUGAAUAAUAGGACGAAAAUUGCUUGACGAUCAGAACUUCAAGGCUAUUAGAAGUACGCUUGCCAUUAGAUAAUAGUAAUAAAUAAUGCAUGAAAAAUGUGAAAGACAAAAGGUGACAUGUCUUUCAGUAAAUUGAGAAAUUAAAAUUAAAUUCUCAACACUCAUAUUUCAUCUUUGUUUCACCUCCGGGCAAGCAUGACAGAGGUAGACCAAAGAAAUUUUCGUAUUGUAAACGUAGUUGCAUUACCUGAUCAUUGAAGCUCAAAUUAUGUAUAUUCAACUUGAUUAGAGUUAACAUUACAAAUUAUCGCCUACUACAGAUAGCUAACUCAC
rnacentral:lncRNA from 1 species